rnacentral:lncRNA from 1 species
CUAGCAAAAAGCCCCGUGCGUUGCUACGGAAGAAAAGAAAUUGAAAAACAUGCUAACUUAAAUUUUCAAAAGUGGUGCCUUUUGCACAUAACUACAUAUUGAGAGCAACUACCGAAAUUUAUGAUCGAAAAAACGCUAAUUCAGUCUACCGAAAACGCCUUUUCCGAUAUAAUCUCAUAUUUUAUAAAUUUUAACCCACAUGAAAAUUAUGUUAGCCCCGACGAGAUGCUGCUCUCCCUUCGUUUCAUCACGCAUCUCUGCGAUGCCAUGCCACAUAUAUUGGGCCUGUUUCAACCAUGAUCUUUAAGGAAAAUUAAGGAUCCAGUACAUCAUCGAUUAGUCAUAUGAUCAAGUCCAAUCGGGUCAAAAAAUAGACCCAGGAAAAUGGUAAAACUAAAAUCAUAUACGGAGGGAAAUUAAAUCAAUGGAAUUUUCAUAGCAGAUCCAUGUCCUAAUUAAAUUUAGAAAGUAUGGUCUGCAUGUACCAUCAAUUAGGCCAAGAUUUCAGCAAAAAUAAAGAAAAAAUAGAGAAAAACGUCGGUAGUAGGAGCGCUAGAAUGCCCGCUCGGGAGCAGCAGCUGCUGCUGCGUCGCAGGAGGAAGGCACCCGCGCUACCGCCAUGCCCAUCUCCGCCACCGCGCAUUG